rnacentral:rRNA from 1 species
UACGUAGGGGGCAAGCGUUGUCCGGAAUCAUUGGGCGUAAAGCGCGUGUAGGCGGCUCGGUAAGUCCGCUCUGAAAGUCCGGAGCUCAACUCCGGAUCUGCCGUGCCGACUGUCAAACUCGAGGGCUGUAGAGGCAGACGGAAUUCCGGGUGUAGCGGUGGAAUGCGUAGAGAUCCGGAGGAAGACCGGUGGCGAAGGCGGUCUGCUGGGCAGUUUCUGACACUGAGGCGCGACAGCGUGGGGAGCAAACAGG